rnacentral:rRNA from 1 species
GAGGAAAGCUGGCGGCGUGCUUAACACAUGCAAGUCGAACGAUGAAGCCCAGCUUGCUGGGUGGAUUAGUGGCGAACGGGUGAGUAACACGUGAGUAACCUGCCCUUAACUCUGGGAUAAGCCUGGGAAACUGGGUCUAAUACCGGAUAGGAGCGCCUACCGCAUGGUGGGUGUUGGAAAGAUUUAUCGGUUUUGGAUGGACUCGCGGCCUAUCAGCUUGUUGGUGAGGUAAUGGCUCACCAAGGCGACGACGGGUAGCCGGCCUGAGAGGGUGACCGGCCACACUGGGACUGAGACACGGCCCAGACUCCUACGGGAGGCAGCAGUGGGGAAUAUUGCACAAUGGGCGAAAGCCUGAUGCAGCGACGCCGCGUGAGGGAUGACGGCCUUCGGGUUGUAAACCUCUUUCAGUAGGGAAGAAGCGAAAGUGACGGUACCUGCAGAAGAAGCACCGGCUAACUACGUG